rnacentral:lncRNA from 1 species
CGGUUCCCGAGUCGAAGCUUUGCCCGCGAGAAGUUCGAUUUUCGAGGAGAUCUUCCAGAUCUGCUGAGGAUUACUACUUCUGCAAGUCGUAGUGCUGUCCGAUCAUCUUCUGAUCAAGUGAGUGUAUACUAACUUUCAUAAACACGAUAAUAAUACAAGUUUGGUCCGAGUGUAUUAAGUGUAUUGUUGUUUAUAAGUGAGUGUGUAGUUACUUUCUUCUAACGCAUAAUAAUGAAGUAUUUUAUACGGAAUACGUAUUAUGUGUAAAAUUUUGUGGUUAUGUGUGUGAAUGUGUAUUGAUUUUCUUCUAACUCAUAGAUAUGAUUUAUUCUCUAUGAGAUAUGUGUUAUGUGUGUGUGUGGCUCAUCUGUUAUGUGAAAUAUAUGUUGAUUAAACAUGCUAUACAGGUUUUUAAAUAUGUAUAAAAAUGUAUAUUUUUAUCUACUAAUAUGUUGGGUAGAACAUGGGUAGAUAGUUGGUGUGUAAUAAACAUAUGAGAGGCCUCGUUGUUGUUUGAUUUAGUCAUCUAGCGGAGUUUAGAUGACGACCACGGGCUAUUCUAGACAGUCUUGUGGAAACAUUAGCAGGUUCGCCACCUGUAGGUGUUAAUGAACUUGGGUGUUCAUUUGCUGUACUCCAUCCCCCUCAUGGUUGCCUUAUUUGACUUAUAUUGCUGAGGUACCCCCGAAGCAUGUGUUGUCGCCCCGAUGAAAUAUUCUUAGACUAGGUCCCUUAUGUUAGUUGUUUUAGGGACAUAAAGUGAGAAUAACGGGAAUGGGUAAUUGGGUUAUUGUUGGUUGGUGGAAAUUAAAUAUGAUUAUUUAUUGUGGGUUGAAAACCCUAUAUGCUCACCAGGCUCCCAAGCCUGACCCACUCAGUUUUAAAUUGUAUUACAGGUAGUGGCGGAAGGGCAUGAGAUGGAUGAACCAUCAAGUUGUUUUGUUUACAAGUCUGCAUAUGUUUAUAUUUGUUAUAUGACUUGUAAUGUAUUCGUUUAUGCUUAUUGGUCUGUAUCGGAACAUGACACCCCGAGUUUUGAUUAUAAUGAAAAUACAUUUCUUUUAUGAAAUGCUUCGGUAAACAAUGUUUUAUCAUGUUUUGUUUUUGGGAACAAAUUCCGCAACUCUUUCAAAUCAAAAGGAUUUACUCUGAAAAUAUUUAAAAGCAUAAAUGAAAAUCGGUCUUUUCUGGCCGAGAUUUUGGGGAUGUCACAGUUGGUAUCAGAGCAUUAGUUUAAGCGAACUAGGAAUUUGUAGGAUUUCUAGACUUAAACUUAGAAUGCUAAGUGAAGUUUUGAGAUGUGUGUCUGUUGUGAUUUAGACACGAGCACUAGUUUAUUUUAGGAAAGUUGCCUAAAAUGCUUUAUGUGCUAAAUGUUAUAUGUUGCCAUAUAUGAUAUUAUUUGUUCGGAUCUAUGGUCUGUUGCCGACCGGAUCUAGAAACCUUAUGUGUGUAGGAUUCUAAGCGUACGUCUACGAUAUUAGAACUAGCAUGUAAACGUUUCGGAGUGAUAAGGAUGAUUUGAAUAUCUAUCAUGAUUGAGGAUCUAAUUUCACCUUAUUCGGUGUAGAUCAAAAUGGUGAGAACAAGAAGUGGAGUUGGAAAUGCUGACGAAAACAGGAAUCAACCACCAGUGAUUGAGCCAAUACCUGUCGUAGCAGCAGCACCUGAGCCAAUAACCAUGGCUGGUGUGCAAUUGAUGAUUCAGACGAUGUUGGAUCGUCAGAUGGAUGAAACUAGACGGUUGCUUCAACAAAAUCGUGAAGAACUGUCGAUUCGUGUGGAAGAGCCUGAACUGAAUGAAGGGCACUCGGAAGGUGGAAACUUCAGUGGGUCUGUUGGUCCAGCCAACCCACCGAUAGUUAGGCAAGAUAACCAUGAUGGAAGGAAUGAUGGAAUGGGAUGCAAGUACAAGGACUUUUUGACUUGUAAACCAUCGACCUUCAAUGGAAAGGAGGAUCCGAUUGGGGUUAUGGAUUGGAUCUCCGAAAUGGAGUUAGCCUUUAUGACAUGUGGCUGUAGAGGCAAGUUGCAGACUAUCUAUGCCGUGCGACAAUUCCGAGGUGGAGCCGUUCGUUGGUGGAACACUCUAGGGAAGACCUUAAGCCCUAAUGAGCCACUGCAAUUGUCAUGGGCAGAGUUCUUGGUGCAGUUCAAGCGCAAGUUCUGCUCGGCUCAAAAUCUGUUGGAGUUGGAGAACAAGUUUUUGACAUUGACGAAGGGUAGCAUGUCAGUGGAUGAGUACACCAAUAACUUCACCGAUAAGAUGGAGUUUGCCUUGCGUAUCGUUCCAGACGAGCUGACAAAGGUGGAUCGGUAUGCGAAGGGACUUCCAUGGGAGUACGAGGUGCCGGUACGUCAGGCACUUACUCUAGAGGCAGCUAUCUGGGCUGCCAAGUCUGUGGAGAACAUGAUCAAGGGGAGAACCACCGUCAAGGUUGAGGUUGGUGAGAAAAGGAAGUUUGAAGGAACAUCUGGUUCCAGUAAGAAGAGCAAAUUUUCGAAAUCUGAUUCGAAAAAGUUUGGAGGAAAAGGAGGCGAAGCAAAGUGGUGUGAUAAGUGUAAGAAAAAGCACUUUGGGAAAUGUAGCGAGGAUGUGACCUGCUACAAGUGUGGAAAGGUUGGACAUUUUGCCAAUGAAUGUCCGAACAACAAAAGGAUGUGUUUUGGGUGUAAUGAAGAGGGGCAUAUUUUGAAAGACUGUCCGAAGAAGAAGGAGGCAGCUAGGCCCAACAUUCCACCAAAGCCGAAGGCGAGAGCCUUCCAGAUGACACUUGAGGCUGCGAAAGAUGAAGCUGAUGUCGCUUCAGGUACCUUUCUCGUAAACGAAUUACCUGCUCAUAUAUUGUUUGAUUCUGGAGCCAACUACUCCUUUAUUUCGCAUGAGUUUGGUAGAAAGCUAGCUUUGCCUGUUGAUAGACUAGAUAAUGCUUUAUUAGUCGAAGUAGCUAGUGGCAAGUUUGUACCUGUUAGCCAUCGUAUGAAAAACAUCUUAAUCGACCUUAAUGGGAAUAAGUUUCACGAGGCGUUAUUGCCUAUCGAACUUAAUGGUUUCGACAUCGUCUUGGGAAUGGAUUGGCUUAGCGCCAAUGAUGCCGAAAUUUUAUGCAAGAAGAAGAUAGUUAAAGUAAACCCGCCUGGAAAAGAUUCGUUUAUGGUGUAUGGGGACAAACGCAGAGUGAAUUCUGGAAUCAUUUCUCUAAUGAAAGCCAGAAAGUGUUUGACCAAGGGAUGUACAUCAUAUUUAGCAUUCGUGAUUGAUGCUAAGAAAGAAAAGAAGGUGAUGCAGAGCAUUCCAGUGGUGUGUGAUUAUCCGGAAGUAUUUCCCGAGGAUCUUCCUGGAUUACCACCUGAUAGACAAGUGGAGUUCAGAAUAGACUUGUUACCAGGAACCACGCCAAUAGCAAAAGCACCUUAUCGAUUAGCACCGACGGAGAUGAAGGAGCUGAUGAUGCAACUUCAGGAGUUAUUGGACAAAGGUUUCAUUAGACCUAGUUCAUCGCCCUGGGGAGCUCCGGUGUUAUUUGUAAAGAAGAAAGAUGGAAGUAUGAGAAUGUGCAUCGAUUACAGAGAGCUGAACAAGGCAACAAUAAAGAAUAGAUAUCCGUUGCCGAGGAUUGAUGACCUGUUUGAUCAAUUGCAAGGUUCGAGCUAUUUCUCGAAGAUCGAUCUUAGGUCAGGAUAUCAUCAGCUGAAAGUAAGAGAGCAAGAUAUCGAGAAGACUGCAUUCAGAACUAGAUAUGGACACUACGAGUUCUUGGUUAUGUCGUUUGGACUAACCAAUGCUCCAGCAGCGUUCAUGGAUUUGAUGAAUAGGGUUUGUAAUCCUUUCCUUGAUAAAUCCGUGAUAGUGUUCAUAGACGACAUUCUGAUCUACUCGAAAAGCCAGGAGGAGCAUGGCAGACACUUGCGAGAAGUGUUAGAAGUUUUGAAGAAGGAGAAGCUUUAUGCGAAGUUCUCCAAAUGUGAUUUUUGGAUUCGUGAGGUCCAAUUCUUGGGUCACGUGGUCAACCAAGAAGGGAUAAUGGUUGAUCCAGCGAAGAUCGAAGCUGUGACGAAGUGGGAACAACCGAAAAGUCCCACGGAGAUUCGAAGCUUUUUAGGAUUAGCCGGAUAUUACCGAAGGUUUAUCCAAGGCUUUUCUUCGAUUGCUACUCCAUUAACAGCUUUGACCCACAAAGGAGCUACUUAUGCUUGGAGUGAGAAGCAUAAAGAAGCAUUCGAGAAGUUAAAGAAGAAGCUAUGCGAGGCACCGAUACUUUCUCUACCCGAUGGAGUUGAAGACUUCGCUGUUUAUAGCGAUGCGUCUGGUGUUGGAUUGGGUUGUGUUUUGACCCAAAGAGAAAAGGUGAUAGCAUAUGCGUCUCGACAGCUGAAAGAGCAUGAAAAGAAUUACCCGACUCAUGAUUUGGAGUUGGCAGCGGUAGUUUUCGCUCUGAAAAUAUGGAGGCAUUACCUCUAUGGCACGAAGUGCAAACUUUUCACUGAUCAUAAGAGUCUCCAAUACCUCUUUAAUCAGAAAGAAUUGAAUAUGAGGCAACGACGCUGGCUAGAAUUACUUAAAGACUACGACUGCGAGAUACUUUACCACCCCGGUAAAGCUAAUGUUGUUGCUGAUGCUCUCAGUCGGAAAGUCAAUCUUGAAAGGAAGAGGCCAAGAGCGUUGAGAAUUGAAGUUGUCUCGACUAUUGUGGAAAGUAUAAAGAAAGCUCAAGAGGAAGCUUCUGAGAAAAAUGACCGAAAGGAGGAACGUUUGGGUAAAACGUUGGUGUUUGGUACUAACGGUCAUGGACUGAAGGUAUUCCAAGAUCGUAUUUGGGUACCUAAGUCAGGAGGAAUUAGGGAUCUUCUGAUGGAAGAAGCUCACAAAACCAUGUACUCAAUUCAUCCGGGUAGCACUAAAAUGUAUAGGGACCUGAAACCCUACUACUGGUGGCCGACGAUGAAGCUUGAUGUUGCAAAGUAUGUGGCCGAGUGUGUGACUUGUGCGAGAGUCAAGACACAACAUCAGAAACCUUACGGGAGUUUAGAACCAUUGCCUGUGCCUAUGGGUAAGUGGGAAGACAUUGCUAUGGAUUUUGUCACUAAACUGCCCAGAACAAAGAAUGGUCACGACAUGAUUUGGGUGGUCGUUGAUCGAUUCACUAAGAGUGCGCAUUUCAUAGCGGCCAGGGAGAAAUGGUCUAUGGAAAAGCUUGCGAAUUCUUACGUGAAGGAAAUUGUGAGGCUUCACGGUGUUCCGUUAACGAUUGUAUCGGAUCGUGAUAGCCGUUUCACCUCAAGGUUUUGGAAAAGUCUACAAGAGGAAAUGGGUACCAAGUUAUGUUUAAGCACAGCUUACCAUCCGCAGACUGAUGGUCAGAGUGAAAGAACAAUACAAACACUUGAAGAUAUGCUGAGAGCAUGUACCUUGGAAUUCCUAGGUAAUUGGGAUGAACAUUUACCGUUGGUAGAAUUUUCCUAUAAUAAUAGUUUUCACUCGAGCAUUAAGAUGGCACCUUAUCAAGCUUUGUAUGGACAGAAGUGUCGUACGCCGUCUUGUUGGCUUGAGGCUGGGGAAAAGCAGUUUAUGGGACCGGAGAUGGUUCAUCAAACUGCUGAAAAGUUGAAAAUAAUUAGGGAAAGAAUGUUAGCAGCUCAAGAUCGUCAAAAGAGCUAUGCUGACAAGAAGCGAAGACCGAUGACUUUUGAGGUUGGAGAUUCGGUUUUGCUUAAAGUCUCGCCGUGGAAGGGACUUAUAAGAUUUGGUAAAAGGGGAAAGUUGAGUCCAAGGUUUAUUGGACCGUUUAAAGUCCUUCAGAGGAUUGGGAAUCAAGCUUACAAGCUCGAAUUACCCGAAGAACUGAAUGGAAUUCACAACACCUUUCAUGUGUGUUAUUUGAGGAAGUUCACGGGAGAAGUUCCCGAUAUAAUUCCAAUUUCUGAAUUGAGAAUUGAUGAGAACAAAAGGUUGAUUGAAGAACCAGAGGCAAUUGUUGACCGAAAGACUAAGAAGUUGCGACGCAAAAUGGUUGGGUUAGUGCUUGUCCGAUGGAAACACACGAAUGGGCCGAAUCUCACCUGGGAGACGGAGAGUGACAUGUUGAGUCGCUAUCCGCAUUUGUUUGUUGAUGUGUGAUUCCGGGGACGGAAUCAUUCUAAGGUGGAGAGAAUUGUAACGCCUGUGUUUCCGGGCUUGCCAUUUUUAGCAAUGUAAUAGUCUAGGUUAACCUUUGUAACCCGUUUUGAAAUAAUAAGAUUGUAUUAUUUGAGUAUUAUGUGUUUUGUGCUUAAUUGCUUAAUUAUGUGGUUUGAUUAAUUAAGAAUAAAAAUAAGCGUCAAAAUUUAAGUGUAAAAUAAACUUAAUAUCUUUGGUUAAUGUUGUAGUAGUUGAAACGAGGUUUCCGAAUAUAUAUAGAACGCCCAAAUCUGACUUCGUAUGAGGAAGUUAUGAUUUAUCGAAGUUCCGGCUUAGCGAUAUACAGCCUGUUUUACUCGAUUUGAGAUCGAGCGGUUGUUAGCCGAAGCAAUCUAAAUGAGAAUCGAAGAUCUCAUUGUUGGUAUUGAAACGAUAAAAAGUUAGGCGAGAACGGACGUCAAACGAAGAAGUUAUGAAUUUAUAACGAAAGUUUCUGUCCCGGCCUAUUAAAAAUAAUUAAUAAAAAUAAAGUCAAAAUUAGCCGACGGAGUCUAAACGAAAGUCGUAGAGCGUGGUCUCACCUUCGCGUGGAUAUAAAGAACGUCGAAAACGGAGUUCGUAUGAAGAAGUUAUGAAUUUCCGAAGUUUAUUAAUCAUUUUGUAUUUAUUUUUAAUUCAAAAUUCGGAAGCAUUAUCCGAAGGAGUCACCGAUCUGAUCCGAGGUACGCCCCGCGUACUCGAGUACGCCCCGCGUACUCCGAGGGAUGUCGACACUCGCACUCGAGCACUUCGGAUACGUAAGCAAUGACGUUUUGGGCAGUACGCCCCGCGUAACGCAGUACGCCCCGCGUACUCCGAGGCUCCAGCCUCCUAUAAAUAGGAUGCGAGGGUUCCGGGUUCAUUUGCUAAUUUCCUCUCGUUUUUGUUCCGAAGCUCUGCGCGUAAACCCCCAAAGCCAUCCCGAAGCCCCAGUAAUAUUCCCGAGCCCCGAGGCAAGUCCCGAGAUCCCGAAGAUCCCGAGAAGUGCGGUUUCCGAGUCGAAGCUCUGCCCGCGAGAAGUUCGAUUUUCGAGGAGAUCUUCCAGAUCUGCUGAGGAAUACUACUUCUAUAAGCCGUAGUGCUGUCCGAUCAUCUUCUGAUCAAGUGAGUGUGUAGUUAUUUCUUCUAAUACAAUAAUACGAAGUAUUUUAUAUAAAAAUACGUGCUAUGUGUAUAUAUUUGGUUGUGUUAUGUGUGAAUGAGUAUUCACUCUCUUCUAUCUUAUAGAUCUGCUUAUUUCUUUAUGAGAUAUGUGUUAUGUGUGUGUGUGCCUCAUCUGUUAUGUGAUAUAUGUGUUGAUUAAAGCAUGCUAUACAGGUUUUCUUUAAACUAUGUAUACAAAUGUAUAUUUUUAUCUACUAAUAUGUUGGGUAGAACAUGGGUAGAUAGUUGGUGUGUAAUAAACAGAUGAGAGGCCUCGUUGUUGUUUGAUUUAGUCAUCUAGCGGAGUUUAGAUGACGACCACGGGCUAUUCUAGACAGUCUUGUGGAAACAUUAGCAGGUUCGUCACCUGUAGGUGUUAAUGAACUUGGGUGUUCAUUUGCUGUACUCCAUCCCCCUCAUGGUUGCCUUAUUUGAAUUAUAUUGCGGAGGUACCCCCGAAGCAUGUGUUGUCGCCCCGAUGAAAUAUUCUUAGACUAGGUCCCUUAUGCUAGUUGUUUUAGGGACAUAAAGUGAGAAUAACGGGAAUGGGUAAUUGGGUUAUUGUUGGUUGGUGGAAAUUAAAUAUGAUUAUUUAUUGUGGGUUGAAAACCCUAUAUGCUCACCAGGCUCCCAAGCCUGACCCUCUCAGUUUUAAAUUGUAUUACAGGAAGUGGCGGAAGGGCAUGAGAUGGAUGAACCAUCAAGUUGUUUUGUUUACAAGUCUGCAUAUGUUUAUAUUUGUUAUAUGACUUGUAAUGUAUUCGUUUAUGCUUAUUGGUCUGUAUCGGAAUAUGACACCCCGAGUUUUGAUUAUAAUGAAAAUACAUUUCUUUUAUGAAAUGCUUUGGUAAACAUUGUUUUAUCAUGUUUUGUUUUUGGGAACAAAUUCCGCAACUCUUUCAAAUCAAAAGGAUUUACUCUGAAAAU